GACGAACGCUGGCGGCGUGCUUAACACAUGCAAGUCGAGCGGUAAGGCCCUUCGGGUACACGAGCGGCGAACGGGUGAGUAACACGUGGGUGACCUGCCCUUAGCUCUGGGAUAAGCCUGGGAAACUGGGUCUAAUACCGGAUAUGACCUCAUGACGCAUGUUGUGGGGUGGAAAGCCUUGUGCGGCUAGGGAUGGGCCCGCGGCCUAUCAGCUUGUUGGUGGGGUGAUGGCCACCAAGGCGACGACGGGUAGCCGGCCUGAGAGGGCGACCGGCCACACUGGGACUGAGACACGGCCCAGACUCCUACGGGAGGGCAGCAGUGGGGAAUCUUGCGCAAUGGGCGAAAGCCUGACGCAGCGACGCCGCGUGAGGGAUGACGGCCU
rnacentral:rRNA from 1 species